UCAAGAUUUUUCUUUAAUGCCAAAUUAUAUGUUAAUUAACAUGAUAACAACAAUUAAGAAAUCAGAUGAAAGGGAAAUUAGGUUUACGUGUGUAGUGACCACUGGAAUAAAACGAGUCUCCUCUCUUCUUCAGCGUGAAUGGCGACGGCGACCGGAAGUUGACCUCUCCUCCAAUCAAAAGUUCACAGCGCCGCCACACCACUGCUCUCACUACAUCGUCUGACUCUCGUUCUCUCUCUGAUCUCACCGCGAAUUCUUACGAAUCUCUCGCUCGAUCCCUUUCAUCUUCUCCGAAUCUCCGCGUUUAUGUUGGGAUUCUCGUUGUUUGUAGAUGAUUAUGAAGGCGAUUCAACGCAGAGAUUGAAGUUGUUUGUCGAAGUUUUUGUUCUCGCUUCCGAUGUCGCGUCGAAGUUACAUUUCGGUGAUGAAGGCGUGCGUUAUUGUUGUUGCAACUUUCUGAAGGUGAUGCUUCAGCCGAUUGGAGAUUGAUGAAGAUGCAGAGUUUGAGGUUUUGUCGAGAGGGAAGAAGAUCAAGAGCUUUUUCUGUUGCAGUUUCAACUUUCUGCAGAUUUGAGGAUGGGAGAAUGAUUGGUUGAAGAAUCGUUUAUGGUGAUUGAAGAGAGGAUGAAGAUUCAGAGGUUCUUGGAGAAUUGAAUAUGAAGAGGAUGAAGGUUGUGUUGUCGAGAUUGAAUCUUGGAGAGAAAGUUUGUUACAUUUUUCGAUUGCUGUGAUUAUGGAGGAGAAGGUUUGAAGAACUCUGGAUCGGUGAAGAUAAAGAUUGGAGCCAAAGUUUGUUACCUUUUGGUUAUCGGUUAUAAUGGUGGAUUCAAGAAGAUAUGAAGAAGAUGAUUUUUCCCCAUAGAGAGAAUUCUGUUACAUUUUGUUGUUAUGAACUUCCCCGAUUUUCUGUUAUCGUUUUUUUUUUGUUAUGAGAAUUUUCUUCUUCUCCUCAUGAAGUUGCUGAAUCCGUUUGUAUGGAAACCGUUUGGUUCUUUCUCUCUGCAGGAUUUGGCUUACGGUUUGAAGUUGGCAUGGAGAUUGGAUUGAGAGCCAACUUAGCAUAAGCUUAGACUUUGCUUCCUUGUUUUAGAACUUGUCUUUUUUGGAUAUUAACCUCAAUGUAAUUUCGACUUUGGGAUAUAAUUUGUAAUGGGACAUGUGAUGUAAUGAAUGGACCUUUGAAUAUUUUUGUAAUGGGCUUUGGAUGAAUAUAAUGGUUUGAAUUUGUAGUGA